rnacentral:lncRNA from 1 species
UUAAAAAUUACUUAAUAAUUAAUUUAUCAUUUUUUUCUACCUUUUGUAGGGAGAUCCUGGUGGAAUUAUAGGACCUCCUGGAUAUCCAGGUCCAAAAGGUGAAGCAGGUCCCCCAGGUAUAAGCCUGCCUGGUGAACCAGGCUUUGAUGGAAUUCCAGGGACACCUGGUCCACGAGGGCCAAAGGUAGGAAAAUGAUAAGACUUCUACAUUAAAAGAAAUUGACAAUGUAUGGCAGCAGAAAUAUGUUCUCCUUGAGGUAUACAUUAGUGGAAAUCUGUCAUUUCACAGGGUGAAAGAGGACUGCCAGGUGUUCAUGGACUCCCUGGUGACAUCGGACCUCCAGGAAUGGGAAUUCCUGGCCAACCAGGAUCCAGAGGACCCUCUGGAGAGCCAGGUAUUCAGGGUCCUAGAGGCCUCCCUGGGUUACCAGGAACUCCAGGGACCGAUGUGAGUAACAGGUUUACAUUCUAAUAUUUUACAUUAAUCCUAUCUUCAUUUGAGGAAUUUAAAAGAUGAUGUUCUCUUUUUUAGGGAGCUCCAG